UACGGAGGGUGCAAGCGUUAUCCGGAUUCACUGGGUUUAAAGGGUGCGUAGGCGGGCAGGUAAGUCAGUGGUGAAAUCCCCGAGCUUAACUUGGGAACUGCCGUUGAUACUAUCUGUCUUGAAUAUCGUGGAGGUGAGUGGAAUAUGUCAUGUAGCGGUGAAAUGCUUAGAUAUGACAUAGAACACCAAUUGCGAAGGCAGCUCACUACGCGAAUUAUUGACGCUGAGGCGCGAAGCGUGGGUAGCAAACAGG
rnacentral:rRNA from 1 species